CGUCUAUUGAAUGCAUCAGCGUUGGUUUCGAAAGUACCCUGGUUUUGAGCUGUUUGAUGUCUCUAAAUAAAAUGUGUUUGCACAAUUAAUCUAUACAUAGUCAAAAAAUAAGUGACAUCAAGGCAACUGGUAUUGGAGCUGCAUGGUGAUGUUAACAAUCCUCAUUGUCCUCCUUUCGUGGGCUUACGGGCUGGAGGGAGCUGAUGUGGUUCUGUCCUGCUCUCUGAUCGAGGAGGGGGGAGGGAUGGGGGGCAUGAUGGGAGGCUCUAUGUUCAAGCGCACUCCCUCCACUCUGGUCUUCAGGGAUCUUGUUGGGAAUGAUGAUCUGUCACCAGAGCUGGUGACCCCAUAUAACCCCCCUGAGACGCCUAAUGCUGAUGAUCUGAUCUUUGAGUUAAUGUUGCCAUCUCUUCAGAUUCCCAAUGCAGACUCACUUCUUCACGCUGAUUGUAAUGAACAGGAAGUGGUUUGUGAGAUCAGCCGUUAUGUUCCUCGCGGUGCUGAUCCGGAUUCUUUACCUGCUCAUUUCAUUAGCUCAGUUCAGCUGGAAGGAAGUGGCCUGAGUCUCACUCUGGUGCUACAAACCCUGUCCAGUGAGACAGCAGAAUCUUACACACCACCACUUAUGCAGAGUAAACUAAACCUGCCACUCAGCCAAUCAGGAACAUUGCUGACAGAGGUUGUGUUUGUGGUGUUCUCGCGUGUACCGUCCGUUAUGGCUCCAAUAGGGGGUGAUGCCGUUUUAGAUUGUGGCUUUAAACAGAAGGACUCAAUCCCUGGACAGGAUGUAACACUUGAGUGGCGUCUACAACACAGAGGAAAUGGCCAUAAAAUUCUUGAUAUGAAAGCGAGGGAGAUAGAGACAGAGGUGGGAUCAGAUGUAUUAGUAGAGCGGGAAGGCACAAGCGCAGAAGCAGAUCUGCUGGUGAGGGAUGGUAAUGCAUCUCUUACUCUGAGGAGGUUAAAGGUCACAGAUGAGGGAAGGUACAUCUGCACUGUCGGCUCUGGAGAGUUCCAGACACAACAGGUUGUCCAGCUGCACAUUACACAACCCCCUCGUGUCACAUUCUCUGUGGAAAAACUGGCAUUUCAGGACAAUACACCCCAGAAACUGAGCUGUCACUGUCAUCGUUACUAUCCUCUGGAUGUACAGGUGGAGUGGUUAUCUCAGCCCCCCUUUGUGGAAGAGCCUGUGUCUUUCUCAAAAGAAUCCACCCUCUCCAGUCACCAGCAGCACAGUGAUGGGACAUAUUCUCUCUCAUCUCACCUCAUCCUACGGCCCGACGAACACCCACCAGGAACUGUUGUCACCUGUAGAGUCUCUCACUCUGCCCUAGACACACCUACCAAUGCCAGCCUGACUGUGGAUAAACUUGAGCCAAAAACAGCCUUCUGGACUGGAAUUGUUUUAAUGUUGGUGAUAUCUGUGUUAUUUUUGUAUCAAGCAUUCAAAAGUACAGCUUGGCUUUUCCACAGAACAGGAUAAUUAGAUUUCCCUCACAACAUCAGGCAGUUAACAGUAGUUUUAAAGAAUACAAGAAAUAGGAAAUAAAUCCACCCUCUCCAGUCACCAGCAGCACAGUGAUGGGACAUAUUCUCUCUCAUCUCACCUCAUCCUACGGCCCGACGAACACCCACCAGGAACUGUUGUCACCUGUAGAGUCUCUCACUCUGCCCUAGACACACCUACCAAUGCCAGCCUGACUGUGGAUAAACUUGAGCCAAAAACAGCCUUCUGGACUGGAAUUGUUUUAAUGUUGGUGAUAUCUGUGUUAUUUUUGUAUCAAGCAUUCAAAAGUACAGAGAGCUGAGGGGUAAUCUGAGGCCAUGUGAGGGAAAAUCGAGGAAGGAACUUGGAGAUUUUUUUUUUUUUUUUUAACUUCGUCAGUCAACAACAAUCUUCAAAUGUUUUAAAUCAGUUACUGUACUGAAUAUUUGUUUAAUGGGAAUUUAAUGUCAGCAAAAAGUAUUUUAUGUAACAUUCUAAAAAUGUAAAAUAAAUUAAAGAAAAUGUAUCAACAAAUAUAUAUAUAUAUAUAUAUAUAUAUAUAUUAUUCUAUUUAUUGUUAAAUAAACACAAACAGGUAGAGUACUGUAUGUCGAUGGUUUUAUUGGCAGCAGUGGCAUAUACUGUUAGCAUGCUGUUUAUCCCUUUUAAAAUCUAAUAUUGAGAGGACAUGGGAUUACUCCACAGUUAUAGUAUAUCCUUUACAGUUCAUUUGCAUGAAUAUAUAAUCAUCUUAAUUUGAGUUUACAGGAGAAAAAAAAACUGACCUCUGUAGUCUUCAGCAACAGAACAAAAUAAAGUCUGUGCUGACAAAGGAAUGUGAUAACCGACAGCAGUAAGGACUGUCAAAACCAUUUGUUUUAUAUUGCAUGGCAGUAUAGAUUAUAUUCUUCAUGCUCAUUUAGUGUUGAUUAUCUUUACAAAUUUUUUGCACAUUUCAGUACAUUUUGGCAGGCCCACAGCAUUCAUCUUGUUCCCACAGCUUGGCUUUUCCACAGAACAGGAUAAUUAGAUUUCCCUCACAACAUCAGGCAGUUAACAGUAGUUUUAAAGAAUACAAGAAAUAGGAAAUAAAAUAAACACACCACGAGUAAAAGAGUUUUAACAGUGGGAUGCAAAUGCAAUGCAAUGCAAAAAACAGGAAUAAACAUUCAACACCUUAAAGGGAUAG